GCCUCAGUCUCCCAAAGCUCUGGGAUUACAGGCAUGAGUUACCAUGCCCAACAGGGAAUUGGGAAAGGAGGCCCAUCCAUUAGCCUGCGGAACUGGCUGGAGCUGACACUCUGCACACUCAGGAGCAGGCCAGCCCUUGGUAAGACAGCGAGAGGAAAGAAAGCAGCCCACCCGUUCAGUAUUCACUGCGUGCUGACCCUGUGCUGGCGGUGGAGAAUAGGAGACCACUGCCGCUCCUCAGUGUGCCUGGAGGAUUGGAGAGCCCUUCCCUACUUCUACCUGGGCAUGCCUGCCACCCUCUCCCAUCCCACGGCCUUAGGGCUCCUGCCUCCUGGGAGAAUUUUCUACUCAAGUGAAGGGGUCUUGUGGUGGGGAGCAGGAGGCCACAGGACCCCACCCCUCAGGCUCCCUCUUCCCACUCUUGGGUGGCCUGACAACAGCAGGCACCAGAGGCCUAACCGGCUAUUCUCACUCCUGGAUACUCUGUGAUUGGGCCAAGUGCUGGGUGCAGCCAGCAACAGAUGCAAUGGUAUAGUCAGGGCAGAGGGUUAUCAGGCUGCGACUGCAUUCCCGACGGAACUCCUACAUCGAGGUCAAGAGUUGGAAGAGGUGGCUGCGGCUGCCUGUGUGUGGUGCCCAGGGUGACUCACUGCCCACAACGCCUGCUGACACUACUGGUGGGGAUGGGAUCCUGCGGAUCCUCAGCGUGGGGCCCAGGGAGCAGUAAAGGACCAUUUCAGGAACCAAGUUCAGGCUACAAGUGGCCUCUGGGAAAGCUAGAACCCAGAGUGUAGGGGAGUGCUGGCUCCACACCUCCCCGCAGCGCCAUGAUGUUCUUCAGGCCCAGCUGCUUGGCUUUGUGCAGAUGGCCCGUGAUCUCCUCCAGGCGCUGACAGCAGCAGGUCAUGUGCAGGAUGGUCUCCAGGCCACAGUAGUUCACGGCGGUGCUGGCAAUCAUCAUGGAGGAGGUCUCCUUGUCUGAGCCAGGGUCACCUGCUGGGUGCCAGGUCACAUCUAUGAAGAGGGGGCCGCCUGCCGCCAUCCGGUCAAACCUGUAGGGGGUUUGUUUCUGAAGAGAGGUUCCAGGGGCAAUACCAUCCCUCACUGCCUUCCCAUGGGGCCCAAGAGUUAGAGAAGCAUAAAUGAAGGUUGGAGACAGACCAAUCAGUGUUCAUAUCCUGGCUUUGCUACUUAUAGCUGUAUGAUCUUGGGUACAUUACUUCACCUCUGUGAGUUCUGUUUCCUUAUUUGUACGACGCGGCAGAUAAUAGUACCCACUUCAUAAUAACACUAGGAGG